GAUGAACGCUGGCGGCGUGCCUAAUACAUGCAAGUCGAGCGAAUGGAUUAAGAGCUUGCUCUUAUGAAGUUAGCGGCGGACGGGUGAGUAACACGUGGGUAGCCUGCCCAUAAGACUGGGAUAACUCCGGGAAACCGGGGCUAAUACCGGAUAACAUUUUGAACCGCAUGGUUCGAAAUUGAAAGGCGGCUUCGGCUGUCACUUAUGGAUGGACCCGCGUCGCAUUAGCUAGUUGGUGAGGUAACGGCUCACCAAGGCAACGAUGCGUAGCCGACCUGAGGGUGAUCGGCCACACUGGGACUGAGACACGGCCCAGACUCCUACGGGAGGCAGCAGUAGGGAAUCUUCCGCAAUGGACGAAAGUCUGACGGAGCAACGCCGCGUGAGUGAUGAAGGCUUUCGGGUCGUAAAACUCUGUUGUUAGGGAAGAACAAGUGCUAGUUGAAUAAGCUGGCACCUUGACGGUACCUAACCAGAAAGCCACGGCUAACUACGUGCCAGCCGCCGCGGUAA
rnacentral:rRNA from 1 species